GAUGAACGCUAGCGGGAGGCUUAACACAUGCAAGUCGAGGGGCAGCAUAGGGUAGCAAUACUCUGAUGGCGACCGGCAAACGGGUGAGUAACGCGUAUGCAACCUACCCUGUACAGGGGGAUAACCCGGAGAAAUUCGGACUAAUAUCCCGUAAUAAUAUCCGGAGGCAUCUUUGGAUAUUUAAAGUUUCGACGGUACGGGAUGGGCAUGCGUAACAUUAGCUGGUUGGUAAGGUAACGGCUUACCAAGGCUAUGAUGUUUAGGGGUCCUGAGAGGGUGGUCCCCCACACUGGGUACUGAGACACGGACCAGACUCCUACGGGAGGCAGCAGUGAGGAAUAUUGGUCAAUGGGCGCAAGCCUGAACCAGCCAUCCCGCGUGCAGGAAGACGGCCCUAUGGGUUGUAAACUGCUUUUCCAGGGAGAGAAACUUACGCACGUGUUGCGUGACUGACGGUACCCUGGGAAUAAGCAUCGGCUAACUCCGUGCCAGCAGCCGCGGUAAACUCGUACUCUA
rnacentral:rRNA from 1 species